rnacentral:rRNA from 1 species
UGCCGGUGGACAAACCGGAGGAAGGUGGGGAUGACGUCAAGUCAUCAUGACCCUUACGGACCUGGGCUACACACGUGGCUACAAUGGUCGGUACAAAGGGUUGCCAAGCCGCGAGGUGGAGCUAAUCCCAUAAACCGAUCGUAGUCCGGAUCGCAGUCUGCAACUCGACUGCGUGAAGUCGGAAUCGCUAGUAAUCGUGAAUCAGAAUGUCACGGUGAAUACGUUCCCGGGCCUU